rnacentral:rRNA from 1 species
UUGAAAGGGAAACGAUUGAAGUCAGUCGUACCGUCGGGAAAUCAACUUUUCGGGCGCUUAUCUUUGGUGACGAAGAGAUUCGUUGCUAUAUGUUGCGGUGUUCUUGAGGUGUAUUUUUCUGUAUGGUAGGUCAGCAUCGAUUUUAACCGUCAUAAAAUGAUCGGGGGAAUGUGGCUUCGGUUUCGAUCGGAGUGUUUUAGACCCUGGUAGAUGUGAUAGUUGGGAUCGAGGAUUGCAACGAAUGCCCUUUGGGCUAUCCGUCUGACCUCUGGGGGUUGCUCGGGUGACGAAAGCGUGCUUACGUCUAUUCGAGUUGGCGUCCAAAAGGUUAGAACGUGAUUACAUUCGUUAAGGAUGU